CGGGUGAGUAACGCGUGGGUAACCUGCCUUGUACUGGGGGACAACAGUUGGAAACGACUGCUAAUACCGCAUAAGCGCACAGCUUCGCAUGAAGCAGUGCGAAAAACUCCGGUGGUACAAGAUGGACCCGCGUCUGAUUAGCUGGUUGGUGAGGUAACGGCCCACCAAGGCGACGAUCAGUAGCCGGCCUGAGAGGGUGAACGGCCACAUUGGGACUGAGACACGGCCCAA
rnacentral:rRNA from 1 species